rnacentral:rRNA from 1 species
GAACGCUGGCGGCGUGCUUAACACAUGCAAGUCGAACGGAAAGGCCUCUUCGGAGGUACUCGAGUGGCGAACGGGUGAGUAACACGUGGGUGAUCUGCCCUGCACUCUGGGAUAAGCCUGGGAAACUGGGUCUAAUACCGGAUAGGACCAUGCUUUAGUGUGUGUGGUGGAAAGUUUUUUCGGUGUAGGAUGAGCCCGCGGCCUAUCAGCUUGUUGGUGGGGUAAUGGCCUACCAAGGCGGCGACGGGUAGCCGGACUGAGAGGUUGGUCGGCCACAUUGGGACUGAGAUACGGCCCAGACUCCUACGGGAGGCAGCAGUGGGGAAUAUUGCACAAUGGGCGCAAGCCUGAUGCAGCGACGCCGCGUGGGGGAUGACGGCCUUCGGGUUGUAAACUCCUUUCGCCAGGGACGAAGCGCUUUGUGACGGUACCUGGAGAAGAAGCACCGGCUAACUACGUGCCAGCAGCCGCGGUAAUACGUAGGGUGCAAGCGUUGUCCGGAAUUACUGGGCGUAAAGAGCUCGUAGGUGGUUUGUCACGUCGUCUGUGAAAUUCCACAGCUUAACUGUGGGCGUGCAGGCGAUACGGGCUGACUUGAGUACUGUAGGGGUAACUGGAAUUCCUGGUGUAGCGGUGAAAUGCGCAGAUAUCAGGAGGAACACCGAUGGCGAAGGCAGGUUACUGGGCAGUUACUGACGCUGAGGAGCGAAAGCAUGGGUAGCAAACAGGAUUAGAUACCCUGGUAGUCCAUGCCGUAAACGGUGGGCGCUAGGUGUAGGGACCUUUUGGGGUUUCUGUGCCGUAGCUAACGCAUUAAGCGCCCCGCCUGGGGAGUACGGCCGCAAGGCUA